CGGACGGGUGAGUAACGCGUGAGAAUCUGGCUUCAGGUCUGGGACAACCACUGGAAACGGUGGCUAAUACCGGAUGUGCCCCUCGGGGUGAAAGGUUAACUGCCUGAAGAUGAGCUCGCGUCUGAUUAGCUAGUUGGAAGUGUAAUGGACUCCCAAGGCGACGAUCAGUAGCUGGUCUGAGAGGACGAUCAGCCACACUGGGACUGAGACACGGCCCAGACUCCUACGGGAGGCAGCAGUGGGGAAUUUUCCGCAAUGGGCGAAAGCCUGACGGAGCAAUACCGCGUGAGGGAGGAAGGCUCUUGGGUCGUAAACCUCUUUUCUCAGGGAAGAACACAAUGACGGUACCUGAGGAAUAAGCAUCGGCUAACUCCGUGCCAGCAGCCGCGGUAAUACGGAGGAUGCAAGCGUUAUCCGGAAUGAUUGGGCGUAAAGCGUCCGCAGGUGGCAAUGUAAGUCUGCUGUUAAAGAGUCUAGCUCAACUAGAUAAGAGCAGUGGAAACUACAUAGCUAGAGUACGUUCGGGGCAGAGGGAAUUCCUGGUGUAGCGGUGAAAUGCGUAGAGAUCAGGAAGAGCACCGGUGGCGAAGGCGCUCUGCUAGGCCGUAACUGACACUGAGGGACGAAAGCUAGGGGAGCGAAUGGGAUUAGAUACCCCAGUAGUC
rnacentral:rRNA from 1 species